GACGAACGCUGGCGGCGUGCCUAAUACAUGCAAGUAGAACGCUGAAGAGAGGAGCUUGCUCUUCUUGGAUGAGUUGCGAACGGGUGAGUAACGCGUAGGUAACCUGCCUUGUAGCGGGGGAUAACUAUUGGAAACGAUAGCUAAUACCGCAUAACAAUGGAUGACACAUGUCAUUUAUUUGAAAGGGGCAAUUGCUCCACUACAAGAUGGACCUGCGUUGUAUUAGCUAGUAGGUGAGGUAAUGGCUCACCUAGGCGACGAUACAUAGCCGACCUGAGAGGGUGAUCGGCCACACUGGGGCUGGGACACGGCCCAGACUCCUACGAGAGGCAGCAGUAGGGAAUCUUCGGCAAUGGGGGCAACCCUGACCGAGCAACGCCGCGUGAGUGAAGAAGGUUUUCGGAUCGUAAAGCUCUGUUGUAAGUCAAGAACGGGUGUGAGAGUGGAAAGUUCACACUGUGACGGUAGCUUACCAGAAAGGGACGGCUAACUACGUG
rnacentral:rRNA from 1 species